GGGGAAUAUUGCACAAUGGGCGCAAGCCUGAUGCAGCGACGCCGCGUGGAGGAUGAGGGCCUUCGGGUCGUAAACUCCUGUCUGGGGGGAUGAAAACUGACAGUACCCCCGGAGGAAGCCCCGGCUAACUACGUGCCAGCAGCCGCGGUAAUACGUAGGGGGCGAGCGUUGUCCGGAAUUACUGGGCGUAAAGCGCGCGCAGGCGGCUUGUUAAGUCAGGUGUCAAAAUGCGGGGCUCAACCCCGUAUCGCACUUGAAACUGGCAGGCUUGAGUGCAGGAGAGGGAAGUGGAAUUCCUAGUGUAGCGGUGAAAUGCGUAGAUAUUAGGAGGAACACCAGUGGCGAAGGCGACUUCCUGGACUGUAACUGACGCUGAGGCGCGAAAGCUAGGGGAGCAAAC
rnacentral:rRNA from 1 species